rnacentral:lncRNA from 1 species
CAUCAUGGUGACUUGCAAGCAACUCACUGUGCUUUGAUGCUGGACUACCUGUAUUUAUAAUACAGUGUGGAAGAUUUUUGGACAUAGUCAAGUACUUACGAAGUCUAUGUGUGAGUCAAGAUGGGAUUGAUCUGCUCCUGAUUUAAAGAGAUAAUGCUAUGAUGUAUUUUAAUUUAGUAAAAUCUUGGCCAGGAUAAUCUUUAUGAUCAGUCACAUAAUUUAUGAGG